rnacentral:rRNA from 1 species
UACGGAGGGAGCUAGCGUUGUUCGGAAUUACUGGGCGUAAAGCGCACGUAGGCGGCUUUGUAAGUUAGAGGUGAAAGCCCGGGGCUCAACUCCGGAAUUGCCUUUAAGACUGCAUCGCUUGAAUCCGGGAGAGGUGAGUGGAAUUCCGAGUGUAGAGGUGAAAUUCGUAGAUAUUCGGAAGAACACCAGUGGCGAAGGCGGCUCACUGGACCGGUAUUGACGCUGAGGUGCGAAAGCGUAGGGAGCAAACAGG